UGAGGAAUAUUGGGCAAUGGAGGCAACUCUGACCCAGCCAUGCCGCGUGCAGGAAGACUGCCCUAUGGGUUGUAAACUGCUUUUAUACAGGAAGAAACACACCUACGUGUAGGUGCUUGACGGUACUGUAAGAAUAAGCACCGGCUAACUCCGUGCCAGCAGCCGCGGUAAUACGGAGGGUGCAAGCGUUAUCCGGAAUCAUUGGGUUUAAAGGGUCCGCAGGCGGUCAAUUAAGUCAGAGGUGAAAUCCCAUAGCUUAACUAUGGAACUGCCUUUGAUACUGGUUGACUUGAGUUAUACGGAAGUAGAUAGAAUGUGUAGUGUAGCGGUGAAAUGCAUAGAUAUUACACAGAAUACCGAUUGCGAAGGCAGUCUACUACGUAUAUACUGACGCUCAUGGACGAAAGCGUGGGGAGCGAACAGG
rnacentral:rRNA from 1 species